rnacentral:rRNA from 1 species
GAUGAACGCUAGCUACAGGCUUAACACAUGCAAGUCGAGGGGAAACGGCAUCGAAAGCUUGCUUUUGAUGGGCGUCGACCGGCGCACGGGUGAGUAACGCGUAUCCAACCUGCCCAUCACUUGGGAAUAACCUUGCGAAAGUAAGACUAAUGCCCAAUGACAUCCCACGAAGGCAUCCGAAUGGGAUUAAAGAUUUAUCGGUGAUGGAUGGGGAUGCGUCUGAUUAGCUUGUUGGCGGGGUAACGGCCCACCAAGGCAACGAUCAGUAGGGGUUCUGAGAGGAAGGUCCCCCACAUUGGAACUGAGACACGGUCCAAACUCCUACGGGAGGCAGCAGUGAGGAAUAUUGGUCAAUGGGCGAGAGCCUGAACCAGCCAAGUAGCGUGCAGGAUGACGGCCCUAUGGGUUGUAAACUGCUUUUAUAAGGGAAUAAAGUGGGUCACGUGUGACUUUUUGCAUGUACCUUAUGAAUAAGAACCGGCUAAUUCCGUG